GACGAACGCUGGCGGCGUGCUUAACACAUGCAAGUCGAACGGAAAGGCCCUUCGGGGUCCUCGAGUGGCGAACGGGUGAGUAACACGUGGGUGAUCUGCCCUGCACUUUGGGAUAAGCCUGGGAAACUGGGUCUAAUACCGAAUAGGACCACGCGCUUCAUGGUGUGUGGUGGAAAGCUUUUGCGGUGUGGGAUGGGCCCGCGGCCUAUCAGCUUGUUGGUGGGGUAAUGGCCUACCAAGGCGACGACGGGUAGCCGGCCUGAGAGGGUGACCGGCCACACUGGGACUGAGAUACGGCCCAGACUCCUACGGGAGGCAGCAGUGGGGAAUAUUGCACAAUGGGCGCAAGCCUGAUGCAGCGACGCCGCGUGAGGGAUGACGGCCUUCGGGCUGUAAACCUCUUUCAAUAGGGACGAAGCGCAAGUGACGGUACCUAUAGAAGAAGCACCGGCCAACUACGUG
rnacentral:rRNA from 1 species